GAAAACAUGACCGCUCAAUGUCUACAAUUCCAAGAAGAGACUAGAAACAAUUAUAAAAACAACACUGCCUCUAUAAAGAAUCUUGAAGUUCAGCUGGGUCAGAUAGCACAACAACUAGCAAGUUCUCGAACACCAGGUUCCUUACCAAGUGAAACAAUUCAAAAUCCAAGAAAUCAGGAGAAUAUUAGUACUAUCAGGACGAAAAAGAAAAAGGUCGCAAAAAAAAAAAGUUAUACCACCUGGAAAGCCAACUGAAGAGGAAAUUAAAAAGGAUACUAAACUG
rnacentral:lncRNA from 1 species